rnacentral:rRNA from 1 species
ACGGGUGAGUAACACGUGAGCAACCUGCCCUGGACUCUGGGAUAAGCGCUGGAAACGGCGUCUAAUACUGGAUAUGAGACGUGAUCGCAUGGUCGUGUUUGGAAAGAUUUUUCGGUCUGGGAUGGGCUCGCGGCCUAUCAGCUUGUUGGUGAGGUAAUGGCUCACCAAGGCGUCGACGGGUAGCCGGCCUGAGAGGGUGACCGGCCACACUGGGACUGAGACACGGCCCAGACUCCUACGGGAGGCAGCAGUGGGGAAUAUUGCACAAUGGGCGGAAGCCUGAUGCAGCAACGCCGCGUGAGGGAUGACGGCCUUCGGGUUGUAAACCUCUUUUAGCAGGGAAGAAGCGAAAGUGACGGUACCUGCAGAAAAAGCGCCGGCUAACUACGUGCCAGCAGCCGCGGUAAUACGUAGGGCGCAAGCGUUAUCCGGAAUUAUUGGGCGUAAAGAGCUCGUAGGCGGUUUGUCGCGUCUGCUGUGAAAUCCCGAGGCUCAACCUCGGGCCUGCAGUGGGUACGGGCAGACUAGAGUGCGGUAGGGGAGAUUGGAAUUCCUGGU